GGUGUAAUAGCUCAGUGGUACAGCAAGUGCUUAGCAUGCACGAGGUCCUGAGUUCAAUCCCCAGUACCUCCA
rnacentral:tRNA from 1 species